CAGUCGCCGCGGUAAUACGAAGGGUGCAAGCGUUACUCGGGAUUACUGGGCGUAAAGCGUGCGUAGGUGGUGGUUUAAGUCCGUUGUGAAAGCCCUGGGCUCAACCUGGGAAUUGCAGUGGAUACUGGAUCACUAGAGUGUGGUAGAGGAUAGUGGAAUCUCCGGUGUAGCAGUGAAAUGCGUAGAGAUCGGAAGGAACAUCUGUGGCGAAGGCGACUAUCUGGGCCAACACUGACACUGAGGCACGAAAGCGUGGGGAGCAAACAGGAUUAGAUACCCCGGUAGUCCCUGUCUCUUAUAC
rnacentral:rRNA from 1 species